rnacentral:rRNA from 1 species
CCCUUAGAUGUUCUGGGCUGCACGCGCGCUACACUGAUGCGUUCAACGAGUGUACAACCUUGCCCGAUAGGGUUGGGUAACCUUUUGAACACGCAUCGUGAUGGGGAUUGAGUAUUGCAAUUAUUACUCAUCAACGAGGAAUUCCUAGUAAUGAUGAAUCAUCAGUUCAUCGUGAUUACGUCCCUGCCCUUUGUACACACCGCCCGUCGCUCCUACCGAUUGAGCAAUCCGGUGAAUAUUUCGGACCUAGAAUUGUCGGGGCAACUCGUUCAGUUUUGGGAAAGUCAAGUUAACCUUAUUGCUUAGAGGAAGGAGAANUCGUAACA